rnacentral:rRNA from 1 species
CCUACGGGAGGCAGCAGUAGGGAAUAUUGCACAAUGGGGGAAACUCUGAUGCAGCGACGCCGCGUGAGUGAAGAAGGAAUUCGUUAUGUAAAGCUCUGUCAUCAGGGAAGAAAAUGACGGUACCUGAGUAAUAAACCCCGUCUAACUACGUUCCCGGAGCCGCAGUCAUACGUAGGUGGCAAGCGUUAUCCGGAUUUACUGGGUGGAAAGGUAGCGUAGACGUCAGUGAAAGUCUGGAGUGAAAGGCGGGGGCUCAACCCCUGGACUGCUAUGGAAACUGUACGGCUGGAGUGCAGGAGGGGUAAGUGGAAUUCCUAGUGUAGCGGUGAAAUGCGUAGAUAUUAGGAGGAACACCAGUGGCGAAGGCGGCUUACUGGACUGUAACUGACGUUGAGGCUCGAAAGCGUGGGGAGCAAACAGGAUUAGAUACCCUUGUAGUC